UCCCCUACACCUUCCACCAUGCUUGUGAGUUUUCUGAGGCCUCCCAGCCAUGCUUCCUGUACAGUCUGCAGAACUGUGGGUCUAUUAAACCUCUUUUCUACAUAAAUCAACCCAGUCUCAGCCUGAGUCCGGUGAGCCUUUCUCUUACCCUAUGGAAGCACUAGAAUAAUGCCUGCCUGCCUACCUGACUGCCUUCCUGCCAUCCCCGUCUGUCCAUCCGUCCAUCCAUUUAUCCAUCUAAGUCUGAGACCUAGGAACAGGAGAGGCCAGUGCUGUAAAUUUCAUGUUUCAUGGCCUCCCUAGCAAGCCAGCCCACCA